GUUGCUGGGGGAAGAGGAGGAGGAGAAAAAAUCAGAGCGACUUAAAAGUCCCAACAAGCGCCGGCCGCGAGAAGUGUUUUAAAGCGCUCGUCCAGGAGGAGAGUUUGCGAGCAGGCGGCCUUUUAUAGCGCGCCUGACGUCAAGGGGGACAGGGACGCCCGGGCCCAGCCAAUCGGCGCCCGCGAAGCCGGCCCUCAUUAGCAUAAAAAUAUAGUAACAAGGAAACUUUUCGAAGCUGUCAAUCAGGGAGCCAAUCAGCUGACUGUCAGCUGGGGAAGAGGGCUUUUUUGUUCUUUUAACUCCUUCGCCGCCGAAGCCGCUCGCUUGGGACGCGCCCCCCGGAGAGGAGUCGCCGAGACCUCCAGAAAGCCGCCGUGUCGUUGCUACCGGGGAGUGAUUGGCAGGUCUUUCGAAAGUGCCCGCGGGGUACCGGUUGGAGACGGACGGAGGCUUUCCAGUCGCCAAGGACGCCUGGUUCCUCGUGCCUUUUGCAGCGCACUGAAACAUCUGGUUAACUUGGCGGGGGGGGGGCAGAAGGGUGCUUGCACAGCUGCUUUGCUCUCGUCGCUUUGCCUUCGGAGCCCCGGGAGGAACUCGCGCUCUAUCCGCGAUUGGGAACGAUCUGCGCGGAGGGGGCGCUCCAGAGAUCGACCGUUUCCCGGCUCGAGAUGCCUGAGAAAAUCCACCUCAAAGAUCUAUUCUUCGUCUGCACCUGUGUAUAGAUGUAUAUUUUUCCUCACUGGGUGUAAUUUACUGUUUGCAUUACCUGUGUUUUAUUUCAUAAUUGAGCAUUUUGCAUUCAAAUUUAUGUAAUGGAUUCGGCACAUUUCUGCCCGAUUAGCAUAAAUAGUCACUUCAUGAAUUACUAACAAAGUUGAUCUGAAAAAUAUCGGCGUAUUAUUUUAUUAAGUGGAACACAAACAUAUGUUCAAUAAAUUCUUGUUUGCUGGUGGCAGGAAGGAAAGCGCUACGAUCCCCGGCUGCGAUGCAGCGUGGAUGAAAGGAGAGGAUAAGCUGAGUUAAUUUAUAUGUAUGAAAUUAAUUUGCCCUGUCAACCUUUCUGUUUAUCUUUAAUAAAGAAGAAUGCCCGGGACUAUUGCGAUGCCAAGAAUCACAAGGCGAGAAGAGACAGUGGCUGCAGCAUCCGUGACAUUUCUCCUUCUUAAUUUCUUAUAUGGACCUACGUGAUUCAGAGGGACAAUCUGAAUCGUUUAUUUUUUUUGGCAGUUCAGUUUUCCUUUGGGAUAAAUUGGCAGUUUGGCCCAAGUCAGGCAGAUUACACCAAUGGAGCUGCAAGAAGCAAAUCCUUCCUUCGGACUGGGGGGAUUUUGUCUUGAGUAAACGCCGGCGAAUUCGUCCUCAGCAGAGUCAGACGGAUGCUUGAAUAAAAGAGAAAUGAAUAUGAUAGAUAUAGUGGCUCAUGUUUAUCUGCACCUCACCAUGCAAGAGUACCUGCCGGGUCUAUCUGGGUAAGUGGAGAGGUGAGACUGCUAUGUUUGCUGUUCUCUGGAAUUCCCUGAGUGUUUUACAAUCCAUUACUCGGGCUACAGUUUUCUGACCAAUUGGAGACCAGGCCUUCUUUCUCUCUUUUUCAGGCACAGAAAAUCUCCUUUUUAAACCCACGCAGAGCAUCAAAUUGGACUCUGCUUGCUGGUAAACAUUAUGGCUUCCAUUUUCUUCUCUUUCCUGCUUUCUCAACUUUGAUUUUUCUCCAUCAAAUCCAUUACAGAUUUUAUACAUGCCUCUUUCUUCUGCAAUAAAUCCUUUUUUUUUUUCUUUUUUGGUCAUCUCAGUCUUGAUUUGUUUUAAUUUUUUAAAAAAUCAACAACCCGAGAGAUUGGUUUUCUGUUAUUAUAAAGUUUAUUCUGGUUGAUUAUCCAUUCUGUGUAAUACUUCUCAUGCACAGGUUGUAUUUUAAAACCUUCACUGCUAAAUUGCCACAACCAUGCUUUUAUUUGUUUCUUAUAGCGUAUCAUUAUUUUCUAUUUAAUGUUAAGAGGUCUGCAUACUUAGAUUUCAUGAGCUAUUCAAAGUCAUUCGGUUUUUCUGAGUUUCGAAAUAGCUCCUAGCAAAAAGACUGAAGCAUCAGUAGAGGCGUUUGCUUGGUGUAUAUUUUGAAUCCAUAUCAGCAAUUCUUAUUCUCAUCAGGUUAUUGAUAAUAUGUUAGAGGUAGUCCUAGCAUAACACGGGGGGAAAUUAUUAUGAUACUGGGAGCAUUUUCUCUUUCCUGGGAGACAAACUGCAGUUCUGCUAAUCAGCAAAUCGGAGUUGGUGGAACCGAAGAUGCGGUACAGUUUUUUUAUAGCAAACAUAAUUGGUUAAUUCUCAUGUAGAAUUUUGUCUGAAUUAAACAAAAAAUCGAUACAUGCCCGGUUUAUGUAAAUCAAUGCCAGUAAUAAAAGAAAUACUAAACUGAAAUAAAGAUUAAAAACACACAAAAAAA